rnacentral:rRNA from 1 species
UACGUAGGGCGCAAGCGUUGUCCGGAAUUAUUGGGCGUAAAGAGCUCGUAGGCGGCUUGUCACGUCGGGUGUGAAAGCCCGGGGCUUAACCCCGGGUCUGCAUUCGAUACGGGCAGGCUAGAGUGUGGUAGGGGAGAUCGGAAUUCCUGGUGUAGCGGUGAAAUGCGCAGAUAUCAGGAGGAACACCAGUGGCGAAGGCGGUGAUCUGGGCCGAUACUGACGCUGUAGAGCGAAAGCGUGGGGAGCGAACAGG